GGUGUGACUAGUGACAGAGAGAGGGGGUGACUAGUGACAGAGUGAGGGAGGGUGUCACUAGUGACAGAGAGAGGGAGGGGGAUGACUAGUGACAGUCACCACCUCCUUCACUCUGUCACUAGUCACCCCCUCCCUCACUCUGUCACUGUGUCA
rnacentral:miRNA from 1 species